rnacentral:rRNA from 1 species
CAGGUCGGUCAUUGGGGACAGCUGGGACGAUCCCACGCCCUUUGGCCCUCCGCACACCAAACAACGUGAACAACCGGUGACGGCCCUGCCGUCGCCACCUUUACAACUGUCGUCCUAUGUCUUGAAAGCAAACAAAAGAGUACAACUCUCAACGAUGGAUCUCUUGGCUCUCGCAUCGAUGAAGAACGCAGCGAAUCGCGAUAUGUAAUGUGAAUUGCAGAAUUCAGUGAAUCAUCGAAUCUUUGAACGCACCUUGCACCCUCUGGUAUUCCGGAGGGUAUGCCUGUCUGAGUGUCACGUCAGCUUUCGUCCCCCCGUGUCCUGCACGGGGGGGUCGGACUUGGGUGUUGCCCCUAGCCGGGCUCGCCUCAAAUGCAUCGGUGGCCUUGUGGCCCUUGGUCCUGCGUGAUAUGUAUCGCUAGACCUCGGGACGGCAGGCUUCCUUGAAACCGCCCUCGCUCUGCGAGCGGACUCUUGUGAUAGACCUCAGAUCAGGUAGGACUACCCGCUGAACUUAAGCAUAUCAAUA